rnacentral:rRNA from 1 species
AAUAGAUACCCAGGUAGUCCACGCCGUAAACGAUGAGUGCUAAGUGUUAGGGGGUUUCCGCCCCUUAGUGCUGCAGCUAACGCAUUAAGCACUCCGCCUGGGGAGUACGGUCGCAAGACUGAAACUCAAAGGAAUUGACGGGGGCCCGCACAAGCGGUGGAGCAUGUGGUUUAAUUCGAAGCAACGCGAAGAACCUUACCAGGUCUUGACAUCCCAUUGGCCACUAUGGAGACAUAGUUUUCCCUUCGGGGACAACGGUGACAGGUGGUGCAUGGUUGUCGUCAGCUCGUGUCGUGAGAUGUUGGGUUAAGCCCCGCAACGAGCGCAACCCUUGUUCUUAGUUGCCAUCAUUUAGUUGGGCACUCUAAGGAGACUGCCGGUGACAAACCGGAGGAAGGUGGGGAUGACGUCAAAUCAUCAUGCCCCUUAUGACCUGGGCUACACACGUGCUACAAUGGACGGUACAAACGGUUGCCAACCCGCGAGGGGAGCUAAUCCGAUAAAACCGUUCUCAGUUCGGAUUGUAGGCUGCAACUCGCCUACAUGGAACG